rnacentral:lncRNA from 1 species
CAGAUCUGAUGUCCCAAGAUCAAAAACUGAAACGUUGCUGAAAAUAUUUCAAAAGGCAAAGCUACACAUUGAAAAAGCAUUGCCUAUGGAGGGCAGUAGUGAGCUGAGGAGCUUCUUCACCAGAGGAUCUGCUGAUCUGGAAGCUGAACUCUGCAAACACAGGGAGCUAGGUGCCUCGGUGGGAACAUGCCUCAGUGUGACUGACUUUGGCCAAUGUCCUCCUGUACAAGGUAACAGCAGUUUUUGGAAUGUGUGCACAAUGUAUUUUCAAAGUAUAAUGGAACCAAUUACAUUUCAGAAGUGAUUUAAAU